rnacentral:rRNA from 1 species
GUGCCUUCGGGAACUCUGAGACAGGUGCUGCAUGGCUGUCGUCAGCUCGUGUUGUGAAAUGUUCGGGUUAAGUCCCGCAACGAGCGCAACCCUUAUCCUUUGUUGCCAGCGAGUAAUGUCGGGAACUCAAAGGAGACUGCCGGUGAUAAACCGGAGGAGGGUGGGGAUGACGUCAAGUCAUCAUGGCCCUUACGAGUAGGGCUACACACGUGCUACAAUGGCAUAUACAAAGAGAAGCGAACUCGCGAGAGCAAGCGGACCUCAUAAAGUAUGUCGUAGUCCGGAUUGGAGUCUGCAACUCGACUCCAUGAAGUCGGAAUCGCUAGUAAUCGUAGAUCAGAAUGCUACGGUGAAUACGUUCCCGGGCCUU